rnacentral:rRNA from 1 species
CGUGUAGGCGGCGUCGUUAGUCGGAUGUGAAAGCCCUCGGCUCAACCGAGGAAGUGCAUCCGAUACUGCGAGGCUUGAGUGUUGGAGGGGGUGGCGGAAUUCCCGGUGUAGAGGUGAAAUUCGUAGAUAUCGGGAGGAACACCUGUGGCGAAGGCGGCCACCUGGACAACAACUGACGCUGAGACGCGAAAGCGUGGGUAGCAAACAGGAUUAGAUACCCUGGUAGUCCACGCUGUAAACGAUGAGUGCUAGACGUCACGGGUAUUGACCCCUGUGGUGUCGAAGUUAACACGUUAAGCACUCCGCCUGGGGAGUACGGUCGCAAGAUUAAA